GGACUUGUAUACAAAAUAAAUAGUUCUGGUAAAUCAAUGUAUUGAAUCUCCUCUCUUUAUCUCAGAUUAAUAAAAACCACUUUUAAAUUUUGACUCGCUAAAGUAGGUACACCAUAAUUCAGAGGACAGUUUAGGUCUGUAUUAUGUGAGGAGCCUGAUUGUAGUAACAAAGAUCCCCCCAAGUCUCAGUUUCUUCAUAUGGUAAAUGUGCAUUUCUUCUUCAUGCAGGAAUCCUGCACCAGAGUGCCCAGUUGGCUGAUGCUUAUGGACACCUCUUAUUCAGCUGGCAGCUCUCAGGCCCUAGACUCUGUCCAUCUUGGGGUUAUGUCCUCUUCUAGGUCCUGGGCCUCCUCUCUAUUCACCUGCCAAAUGGAAAAGUAGAGGAUGUGGGGUCUUGUGUGGGUGUUUAUGGCAAGAAUAUUAGCAGCAUAAAUCAUUUCUGCCUCUAUUCUCUGGGUCAGAAUUCAGUCGCAUGCUCUACCUAAUUGCAAGAGAAGACAGGAAAUGCCAACUAGUUGAGCAUCUAGGAAUAGAAAGUGGGAUUUGGUAAAAAAAAUUUUUCUGCCACAUGAUAAUAACAUGUAACAUUCUAAAUUAUAAAACUGCAGUCAUUGUAAACAGAAAUAAGAUUCUACCUGUUUAUCCUGCUCUUUUUGUUUUUUUUUGUUUGGCCUUACUGAAUUUUCUUCUUUCAGGUAAUGAUUGAUGAAUCCCUUUCAUCCGAUGACCCUGAUUCAUAUGUGACAUUGACGGUUGUCCGGUCCCCAGGAGGAAAAGGAACCGUCCGACUUGAGUGGACCAUAGAUGAGAAGGCUAAACAUAACCUUAGUCCUUUGAAUGGGACCCUUCAUUUUGAUGAGACUGAGUCCCAGAAGACCAUUGUGUUGCACACACUUCAAGACACAGUGUUGGAGGAGGACAGACGUUUCACCAUUCAGCUGAUAUCAAUUGAUGAGGUAGAAAUAUCUCCAGUAAAAGGUAGUGCAUCAAUAAUUAUUCGGGGUGAUAAGCGAGCAUCAGGAGAAGUUGGGAUAGCUCCGUCAUCUAGGCACAUCCUCAUUGGGGAACCCUCAGCAAAAUAUAAUGGUACCGCUAUUAUCAGCCUUGUUCGAGGCCCAGGGAUUUUGGGGGAGGUCACAGUGUUCUGGAGGAUAUUCCCUCCUUCCGUGGGGGAAUUUGCUGAAACAUCAGGAAAACUGACAAUGCGAGAUGAACAGUCUGCAGUCAUUGUAGUAAUACAGGCUUUGAACGAUGACAUUCCUGAGGAAAAAAGCUUCUAUGAGUUUCAGCUCACUGCAGUCAGUGAGGGAGGAGUUCUGAGUGAAUCCAGCAGCACUGCCAACAUCACGGUGGUGGCC
rnacentral:sRNA from 1 species